AGAUUAAUUAAGGGGCAACCCUUAACUGGCCGACUGGGGAAAGGCCGAGAGGACCAAGCCCAGGGGGCAGAAAGCUCUACGGAGUAGCGCUAAAAUCGUAGGGCGGAAGGCAUGGCGGUAGCGCAAUCAACGACGUGCCAA
ncrna:unclassified sequences IMES-2 RNA motif